rnacentral:tRNA from 1 species
UCCGGUAUGGUGUAUCGGCUAGCAUCGCCCGCUUUCAUCGCUCCCUUCGUCAGGGCGCCGGGUCCGGGCAGAGCCGGGUUCGACUCCCGGUACCGGUG